AAAAUGUUAGGUCUAAAACUACUACACCAUUUACAGAGAGGACCUGUCGCCUAUUGAGGAAAGCCUGGAAGAUGAUGAGCGCACCAUGGAUGCCUCUGAGGUUCUGGAGGAAAGUCUACAGAACAUGAGCAUCCAGGAUGCUGAAACCCAGGUCAUGAAUGAGCAGGAGAUUAAUGACCUAAUAAACAGUUGGUUGGAGCAUUGCAGGCACCACCAUGCCUUGACAAUCUGCCUGUAAUAGAUGCCAGUGAGACAGUACAUGACAUCCCGAUGUAGAGCCUCCAUCAGUCACCUUACCUCCACUUCAACAACCUGGCUUUCCUGAUACACUGGAGGUCAUGACUGAAGAUGACCUAAUCGGGAAACUGGCCUCCAUCACUUAUGAGGACUGUUUGAAGCAGCUUGCAACAUUCCUUGCGCUUCCGGUCCAAAAGUGCCCAUACAAAUGUGACGUCAGCCAAGUGGAGUGUCAGUGUCGCCCUCCAUUUGACGUUUCCAUUACGCGCAGGGGUACUGCAAGAAUCAUGGAAUGGACCUUCCCUGUUGGCCACACUGUAUGGAGAUGGAGCUCACAGCCCACUGUGAGGUACAGGAUGCUGGCAGGGGACUUCAUGUUGGCAAGCAACAUACUACUCUCAGGAAGCAACUACGCCAAAGUCUUGCUUAUGUUCCAGUUUAUGAACAUGGGGAUGGUGGACCGUAGUUCCUUUUUCACAGUUCAGGACACGUACGGUGUAGACAAUGUGAAGGACUUUUGGGAGGAGAGGAGGGCUGAGGCAAUACAUCGCCUAAAAGACAGAGAUGUGGUAAUAGUAGGCUUCACAGGUCAAGGGUCAGUCCAGUUUGAGCAGUUGGCUGAAAGACAUUGGCAACCACUUUUGGUGGUGCUGCAAAACAGCAGAUUCUUACCAAGAGUUCCUUGAGCUUUGGCUUGGGCUCCUACAUCAUGUGACAAAUGAACACAGGUGGGUGUUGGGAAGCUGCCAGCAUGCAGACUUAGGAUCUGGUGGAACUCAACAGUGGCUUGAGCGAGGCUCCAUGGCACAUGAGGCCCUGAAGAGCGGUGGCUUAAAUAUCUAAACUUUAGGUUAUUUUAUGAGUAUAUACACUCACCUAAAGGAUAAUUAGAAACACCAUACUAAUACUGUGUUUAACCCCCUUUCGCCUUCAGAACUGCCUGAAUUCUACGUGGCAUUGAUUCAACAAGUUGCUGAAAGCAUUCUUUAGAAAUUUUGGCCCAUAUUGAUAGGAUAGCAUCUUGCAGUUGAUGGAGAUUUGUGGGAUGCACAUCCAGGGCACGAAGCUCCCGUUCCACCACAUCCCAAAGAUGCUCUAUUGGGUUGAGAUCUGGUGAGUGUGGGGGCCAUUUCAGUACAGUGAACUCAUUGUCAUGUUCAAGAAACCAAUUUGAAAUGAUUCGAGCUUUGUGACAUGGUGCAUUAUCCUGCUGGAAGUAGCCAUCAGAGGAUGGGUACAUGGUGGUCAUAAAGGGAUAGACAUGGUCAGAAACAAUGCUCAGGUAGGCCAUGGCAUUUAAACGAUGCCCAAUUGGCACUUAGGGGCCUAAAGUGUGCCAAGAAAACAUCCCCCACACCAUAACACCACCACCAGCAGCCUGCACAGUGGUAACAAGGCAUGAUGGAUCCAUGUUCUCAUUCUGUUUACGCCAAAUUCUGACUCUACCAUCUGAAUGUCUCAACAAAAAUCGAGACUCAUCAGACCAGGCAACAUUCUUCCAGUCUUCAACUGUCCAAUUUUGGUGAGGUCCUGCAAAUUGUAGCCUCUUUUUCCUAUUUGUAGUGGAGAUGAGUGGUACCCGGUGGGAUUCUGCUGUUGUAGCCCAUCCGCCUCAAGGUUGUGUGUGUUGUGGCUUCACAAAUGCUUUGCUGCAUACCUUGGUUGUAAUGAGUGGUUAUUUCAGUCAAAGUUGCUCUUCUAUCAGCUUGAAUCAGUUGGCCCAUUCUCCUCUGACCUCUAGCAUCAACAAGGCAUUUUCACCCACAGAACUGCCGCAUACUGGAUGUUUUUCCCUUUUCACACCAUUCUUUGUAAACCCUAGAAAUGGUUGUGCGUGAAAAUCCCAGUAACUGAGCAGAUUGUGAAAUACUCAGACCGGCCCGUCUGGGACCAACAACCAUGCCACGCUCAAAAUUGCUUAAAUCACCAUUCUGACAUUCAGUUUGGAGUUCAGGAGAUUGUCUUGACCAGGACCACACCCCUAAAUGCAAUGAAGCAACUGCCAUGUGAUUGGUUGAUUAGAUAAUUGCAUUAAUGAGAAAUUGAACAGGUGUUCCUAAUAAUCCUUUAGGUGAGUGUAUAUAGAAUCAGGUGAAGGUAGAGAGUAAUAUACACCCUUUGGUUUGUCGGGUUCCUUCCGUUUUCCAAAAUAUAUUUUACCUUACUUUCAAUGGAGGGAUAUUAUGCGGGUAAGGCUAAGGGACCGUCUUAAAUGAGCAUUUGGCAGAAAUCAUUGUUUCAACAUUUUCUUUCUUGUGCCUACUUAAAAAAUUUUCUCCACAUUUCUAAUUAAAAAAGGUGUUAUUUUAAUCCUUUAGGUGUGUGUGUAUAUAUAUAUAAAUUCUAGAUGCAACUGAAACUGUUUGUUCUGCCCCUACAAAGCCCCAGUGUCUCUCAGACUCGAACUGCACAGCAAAUGCAAGUGGUGUCUCCAAAAACAUCAUUUGAAGGGUGCCUUACAGAAAUGCUCAUUCAACAUCAAAGGGCCAAUGUCCAGUUUGACAUUGCACACAAAAUCAGCACCAUCUUUGGAGAGCAGACAAACCACAUGCAACGAUUAGAAAAAGACUGAGCUGAAUUCCUCAAAAUGGGAAUAAUGCUCAAUGCCAA
ensembl:lncRNA